UACGAAGGGGGCUAGCGUUGUUCGGAAUCACUGGGCGUAAAGGGCGCGUAGGCGGCUUGAUAAGUCGGGGGUGAAAGCCUGUGGCUCAACCACAGAAUUGCCUUCGAUACUGUCGGGCUUGAGACCGGAAGAGGUCAGUGGAACUGCGAGUGUAGAGGUGAAAUUCGUAGAUAUUCGCAAGAACACCAGUGGCGAAGGCGGCUGACUGGUCCGGUUCUGACGCUGAGGCGCGAAAGCGUGGGGAGCAAACAGG
rnacentral:rRNA from 1 species